GUAUGUCUGUGUGUGUGUGUCAGUAUGUCUGUGUGUAUGCCAGUAUGUCUGUGUGUGUGUGUGUGUGUGUGUGUGUCAGUAUGUCUGUGUGUAUGCCAGUAUGUCUGUGUGUGUGUGUAUGUAGGUAUGUCUCUGUGUGUGUGUGUACGUGUGUGUCAGUAUGUCUGCCAGGAUAUAUUUGUGUGUCAGUGUAUGUGUGUGUCAGUAUGUAUCUGUGAAUGUUUUAAUGUCUGUCUGUGUGU